rnacentral:lncRNA from 13 species
CUUGUAGAUAGAGUCCCCAUACCAGCCUGGUCUUUUCUAAGAGAAAACUAAGACCCUGUCUUAUUUAGGCCACUGUUGCCUUGGAUCUCUUACUAGCAACUGAGCAAACUCCUCAUUGAUAAAACCUCAAAACCCUCUUAUAAUUCAGUUUCUCUCCACCAAAUAGCCCCAACUCACUCAUUCAUUCAUCAAUUCACUUCCAUACUCCAGUACUCUCUGACUGAUAACAUUCCAUAUUCUAGAAUCAGAUGAGAUUAUGUGGGUAUAAAAGCAUGUUAUAAAUACCAAAGUAUUAAAUGCAUGUUACACUGUGCCAUUAUUUUCAUUAAUAUUAUGAUUUGUUGUUACUCUGGUGUCAUAAUUAAGGUGAUUUUAGUAAGUAGUAUGCAAUUUACUUGGGGAAAACUCCUGUUAGUGGGGUGAAUUAUUGAAACCAGUGCUAAUUGAUGUUGUAAAUUAAAGAAGCAAGGAGUGAUCUAGUACGAGCGCAUAUCACAGUUUAAUAUGCACAGAGAAAAACUUGAGAAUCUUUUUAAAAUGCAGAUUCAGAUUCAGAGAGGGUCUAGAAUGGGGCCUAAGAUUCUGCAUUUCUAAAAAGGUCCUAAGUGAUAUGCUUGCCCUGAACCUUAGAAUAACAGGGAGACCUUGUAGGUGCUAGGGAGGAAAAUCAUAAGAGAAAGGUAAGCUGAAAGCAGAGAGGAGAGAAUUUCUGAAAAUGGGAAACAAGAAUUUUCUCAGAAGCUUUACUUUCAAGCAGGGUCUCACUCUGUUACCCAGGUUGGAAUGCAGUGACAUAAUCAUGACUCACUGCAGCCUCGACAUCCCAGGCUCAAGCGACCAUCCCAUCUUAGCCUCCCAAAGUGCUGAGAUUACAGGCAAGAGAGAUUCCAGGUAUUCUGGGAUUCCAGGUAUGUGUCACUGUAUGAAUCUAGUGUAUUCUUGUUCUUGUCUGUUUUGUUUACUGAGCCUGAAUGUAAUUUUUGUGAAAGGUGCUGGGCCAGUGGCGUACCUGUAAUCUCAGCUACUAAGGAACCUAAGAAAAAAGGAUCAGGAGUUUGAGACCAACCUGGACAACACAGUAAAAUGCUGUCUCUAAACAGAAAAAGAAAAAGGAGAAAAAAAAAAAGAAAGUAAUUCUGUGGGAAGAAGAAUGUGUUGAUGGGACGUAUACAUGCGGAUGUAUGUCAGGAAGAAGAUAACCCGUCUUGUCUUUGGGCAUGGCAAUUCUAUACCCAGUUCCUUACUCUAGUGGGGUAGUUGCUACCUGGGGGCAUUUGCUGGUUUGGUGUGGAGAAAAUCUGCACUGCAGCUGGUCAGAAGUAAGGGGAUAGUUGACACAAAUACUCUAGAUACAGUUGCUCAAUUAACCACCCCAAGAAUAGCACAAGGCCAUCUUUUCUUUGUAUCCAAUAAAUCUGACAUUAGGGUAGAGUUUCUAUUUUUG